AUUGAACGCUGGCGGCAGGCUUAACACAUGCAAGUCGAGCGGAGUGAUGGUGCUUGCACUAUCACUUAGCGGCGGACGGGUGAGUAAUGCUUAGGAAUCUGCCUAUUAGUGGGGGACAACAUCUCGAAAGGGAUGCUAAUACCGCGUACGUCCUACGGGAGAAAGCAGGGGAUCACUUGUGACCUUGCGCUAAUAGAUGAGCCUAAGUCGGAUUAGCUAGUUGGUGGGGUAAAGGCCUACCAAGGCGACGAUCUGUAGCGGGUCUGAGAGGAUGAUCCGCCGCACUGGGACUGAGACACGGCCCAGACUCCUACGGGAGGCAGCAGUGGGGAAUAUUGGACAAUGGGGGGAACCCUGAUCCAGCCAUGCCGCGUGUGUGAAGAAGGCCUUAUGGUUGUAAAGCACUUUAAGCGAGGAGGAGGCUCUUUUGGUUAAUACCCAAGAUGAGUGGACGUUACUCGCAGAAUAAGCACCGGCUAACUCUGUGCCAGCCGCCGCCGUAA
rnacentral:rRNA from 1 species